CUUAGUUUUAGACGUGUUUUGGU
rnacentral:miRNA from 15 species